rnacentral:rRNA from 3 species
ACAACUUUCAACAACGGAUCUCUUGGCUCUCGCAUCGAUGAAGAACGCAGCGAAAUGCGAUACGUAAUGUGAAUUGCAGAAUUCAGUGAAUCAUCGAAUCUUUGAACGCACCUUGCGCCCCUUGGCAUUCCGAGGGGCACACCCGUUUGAGUGUCGUGAAA